rnacentral:rRNA from 1 species
CAUGCGUACCAUUAGCUGGUUGGUGAGGUAACGGCUUACCAAGGCAACGAUGGUUAGGGGCCCUGAGAGGGGGAUCCCCCACACUGGUACUGAGACACGGACCAGACUCCUACGGGAGGCAGCAGUGAGGAAUAUUGGACAAUGGGCGAGGGCCUGAUCCAGCCAUGCCGCGUGCAGGAUGACUGCCCUAUGGGUUGUAAACUGCUUUUAUACGGGAAGAAACCUGUCCACGUGUGGACAGCUGACGGUACCGUAAGAAUAAGGACCGGCUAACUCCGUGCCAGCAGCCGCGGUAAUACGGAGGGUCCGAGCGUUAUCCGGAAUCAUUGGGUUUAAAGGGUCCGUAGGCGGGCCUAUAAGUCAGGGGUGAAAGGCCACGGCUCAACCGUGGGACUGCCUUUGAUACUGUAGGUCUUGAGUCGUUGUGGGGUUGCCGGAACAUGUGGUGUAGCGGUGAAAUGCAUAGAUAUCACAUAGAACACCGAUCGCGAAGGCAGGUGACCAACAACGUACUGACGCUGAUGGACGAAAGCGUGGGUAGCGAACGGGAUUAGAUACCCCGGUAGUC